GCUGCUUCCUUUUUCUGAGCCCUGGGCUGCCUAGAAAUGACUGCUUUCCCAGCGAAGGUGACCCUCAGCCAAUGAUUGACAGACAUGCGAUGCAAAACGCUGGUCUCUUGUCUGAAGGUCGGAUGACUCUGCGGUGCCAUCAGUGUUACAGAGCUCCCUGUGGGAUCAGGCUGAGGGAAAAUUUAGGAAUCUGCUCGGGGUGAGGCUGAGAGUUCUGAUAAAGCGUUCCUGCAGGUGGAAGUCGGCCACAGCCUGGCUCUGCGGGAAGCAGAGAAGUGCACCCACCUUUCCUCUCUGUGCUCGUCUCUGCAUCACCUGACCUGCAUCUCAUGUGCCCACAGCCUUUCCUGCAUUAAAAUGUCUUCUCAGGAGAGGAUCAGCUAUCAGUCAACUACACCUUCAUGUGAAUUUGAAAUAUUGCAUGCUCUUCUCCAGGAGAAUUCGGAAACUAGAUGUGUAUUUGGGUAAUAAAAAAUACUGUUCCCAUUAGAAGACUUCAGCGAGCAAUGGGUGUAGGAAGUAUUUCUUGGAGCAAAAAGUGGAAGAAGAGUGGGAAAAAAAGCAUCCUUCCAAAACCUCCUAUUUUCAUAUGUAAAGAUAUUCCCGGCUAAAGGGGCUGUGGGGGUCUUAUCCCCUUCCUGGAAGUAUAAGUGAUGAUCACAGGUGCCUUUUGGAGACCCUGGAGAACUGAUAUAGGAGUUGAGAUGCAGGUGAAAUUUGGAGUUCAGCGGUGGCAGGAGCUCAGUGGGUGUGGGGGAGAGGUGACCUUGAGAAGAUAUGAUGGAGAGUUAGCCCAAUCUUGCAGAGCACAUUAACCUUCUCACAGAACCUGAGAUGGGGCUGGAUUCAAUUUCACUUAAUCUGGAAUGUCAGAGAGGCCUCAGCUGACCCCCAGGUGGUAGAUAAACAGGAGCAGCUGAGAGACCUCAGUCCUAGGCCUGGCUCCUUCCUCAUGGUGUCAACUUAAGCAAAUCUCUUUACCCCACGUGGUAGGCUGGACAGUGGCCUCCAGAGAUGUCCAUGUCCUAAUCUCCAGAACCUGUGAAUGUUACUUUAUCUGGCAAAAGGGACUUCGCUGAUGUGAUUAAAUUGAGGAUCUUGAAAUAGGCAGAUUAU
rnacentral:lncRNA from 1 species